CCUUCUCCAUUUUCUUUUUUUUUUUUUAAGCUCAAUUUUCCUAAGCUUUCUCUACCUAAAACCCUAAACACCCUUCACAAAAAUUAAUCUCCACAUCAAGAGGAAUAUUUUGAUGAUCAAAAAGUGAAGAAAUUCCAAAGAUUAAGUAAGCUCAAGAAUUGUUUAAAGAGGUACAGGAGACCCACAGCUGCAGCAGUAAAGCUUAAUCUGGAUUUGAUUAGAUCUGUUACACGGUAGAUUGUCACCUCAGCAAUCCAUUUUGGUAGGGCUCAUGUAGAUAUUAGAUUUUACAUUUUUGUAUUGUACAUAAUUAAACAAUGAUGUAAAUUAUUUUUGGAAUGUAAAUAAAAGUGUAAAUUGUUGUAUAUGAAUUUUAUAUAUAUGAAUGUAAUGCAGUAUUUUAUUUUCUUGAAAA